rnacentral:rRNA from 1 species
GACGAACGCUGGCGGCGUGCUUAACACAUGCAAGUCGAACGGAAAGGCCCUGCUUGCAGGGUACUCGAGUGGCGAACGGGUGAGUAACACGUGGGUGAUCUGCCCUGCACUUCGGGAUAAGCCUGGGAAACUGGGUCUAAUACCGGAUAGGAGCCAUUUUUAGUGUGAUGGUUGGAAAGUUUUUUCGGUGUAGGAUGAGCUCGCGGCCUAUCAGCUUGUUGGUGGGGUAAUGGCCUACCAAGGCGGCGACGGGUAGCCGGCCUGAGAGGGUGGACGGCCACAUUGGGACUGAGAUACGGCCCAGACUCCGACGGGAGGCAGCAGUGGGGAAUAUUGCACAAUGGGCGCAAGCCGGAUGCAGCGACGCCGCGUGGGGGAGGACGGCCUUCGGGUUGGAAACUCCUUUCGCUAGGGACGAAGCUUUUUGUGACGGUACCUAGAUAAGAAGCACCGGCUAACUACGUG